GGAAGUUCUUGGGUGACCUACCCUGGAACUGGGCUCCCUCCUCUCUGGUUACGGGGUGCAUCACCCAGAACUGCC
rfam:Myotis brandtii contig172174, whole genome shotgun sequence.